rnacentral:rRNA from 1 species
AUUGAACGCUGGCGGCAGGCCUAACACAUGCAAGUCGAACGAGUGGCGGACGGGUGAGUAAUGUCUGGGAAACUGCCCGAUGGAUGGGGUUAACUACUGGACACGGUAGCUACUACCGCCUACCAUCGGAUGUGCCCAGAUGGGAUUGGCGAGUUGGUGGGGGAACGGCUCACCUAGGCGACGAUCCCUAGCUGGUCGGAGAGGAUGACCAGCAAAACUGGAACUGAGACACGGUCCAGACUCCUACGGGAGGCAGCAGUGGGGAAUAGUGCACAAUGGGCGCAAGCCUGAUGCAGCCAUGCCGCGUGUAUGAAGAAGGCCUUCGGGUUGUAAAGUACUUUCAGCGAGGAGGCGUUACUCGCAGAAGAAGCACCGGCUAACUCCGUGCCAGCAGCCGCGGUAAUAC